rnacentral:rRNA from 1 species
GCCAGACUCCUACGGGAGGCAGCGGUGGGGGAUAUUGCACAAUGGGGGGAACCCUGAUGCAGCGACGCCGCGUGGGUGAAGGAGCGUUUCGGCGCGUAAAGCCCUAUCGGCAGGGAAGAAGGAGGACGGUACCUGACUAAGAAGCCCCGGCUAACUACGUGCCAGCAGCCGCGGUAAUACGUAGGGGGCAAGCGUUAUCCGGAUUUACUGGGUGUAAAGGGGGCGCAGACGGCAGCGCAAGCCAGGAGUGAAAGCCCGGGGCCCAACCCCGGGACUGCUCUUGGAACUGCGCGGCUGGAGUGCAGGAGGGGCAGGCGGAAUUCCUGGUGUAGCGGUGAAAUGCGUAGAUAUUAGGAGGAACACCAGUGGCGAAGGCGGCCUGCUGGACGAUGACUGACGUUGAGGCUCGAAAGCGUGGGGAGCAAACAGGAUUAGAUACCCGAGUA